GGAUAGCUCAGUCAGUAGAGCAUAAGACUCUUUAUCUCAGCUUUGUGGGUUCAAGCCCCACGUUGGACA